rnacentral:rRNA from 1 species
UACGGAGGGGGCAAGCGUUAUUCGGAAUUAUUGGGCGUAAAGGGCGCGUAGGCGGCUAGAUGCGUCACAGGUGAAAUCCCUCGGCUCAACUGAGGAACUGCCUUUGAAACUGUCUGGCUUGAGGCCGGGAGAGGGUAGCGGAAUUCCCAGUGUAGCGGUGAAAUGCGUAGAUAUUGGGAGGAACACCAGUGGCGAAGGCGGCUACCUGGACCGGUUCUGACGCUGAGGCGCGAAAGCGUGGGUAGCAAACAGG